rnacentral:rRNA from 1 species
CCUACGGGUGGCAGCAGUGGGGGAUAUUGCACAAUGGGGGAAACCCUGAUGCAGCGACGCCGCGUGGGUGAAGAAGCGCCUCGGCGCGUAAAGCCCUGUCAGCAGGGAAGAAAAUGACGGUACCUGAAGAAGAAGCCCCGGCUAACUACGUGCCAGCAGCCGCGGUAAUACGGAGGGGGCAAGCGUUAUGCGGAUUUACUGGGUGUAAAGGGGGCGCAGACGGCGGUGCAAGCCAGGGGUGAAAGCCCGGGGCCCAACCCCGGGACUGCUCUUGGAACUGCGUGGCUAGAGUGCAGGAGGGGGAGGCGGAAUUCCAGGUGUAGCGGUGAAAUGCGUAGAUAUCAGGAGGAACACCGGUGGCGAAGGCGGCCUGCUGGACUACGACUGACGUUGAGGCCCGAAAGCGUGGGGAGCAAACAGGAUUAGAUACCCGGGUAGUC